rnacentral:lncRNA from 1 species
GCAGAAUUCAACAAGCGGAAUAACAAAAAUCAAUUCAAACAUUCACACAAACAAAUUUAUUAAAAAAGAAAACAGAAAGAAAAGGUACCUUAUGGAUUACAUAAUUUCAUCUUCAAAACCCAACUUCGAUGCCUUUUAUCUCACAAAUAUUCGUAGAAAUCAACUUCUUCAAUAGAAUUGAUCGAUUUUGAUGGCUUAGUAGUACUUCUGGCAAGUUUUCAAGAAUAACCCAGAGACGCGGAAAAACUAGGGUGGCAUAUGAGAAGAAGUGAUGAGAGACGAAUGAGAGGCAGAGGCGUUCGAUGAGUGAGAUGAUGAGAGACGAGUGAGAGGCAGUGGCAGAGAAGAGGAAAAACUAGGGCAUUUUGACGAGUUUUCUUUUUGGUUUGGGUUUUGUAAUUUAAGUUUUACUUUUAGCAACGUUCAAAU